rnacentral:rRNA from 1 species
GUUCCCUACGGGAGGCAGCAGUGGGGAAUAUUGCACAAUGGGGGAAACCCUGAUGCAGCAACGCCGCGUGAGUGAAGAAGUAUUUCGGUAUGUAAAGCUCUAUCAGCAGGGAAGAGAAUGACGGUACCUGACUAAGAAGCCCCGGCUAACUACGUGCCAGCAGCCGCGGUAAUACGUAGGGGGCAAGCGUUAUCCGGAUUUAUUGGGUGUAAAGGGCGUGUAGGCGGGAAUGCAAGUCAGAUGUGAAAACUCAGGGCUCAACCCUGAGCCUGCAUUUGAAACUGUAUUUCUUGAGUGCUGGAGAG